CCUACGGGAGGCAGCAGUCGAGAAUCAUUCACAAUGGGGGAAACCCUGAUGGUGCGACGCCGCGUGGGGGAAUGAAGGUCUUCGGAUUGUAAACCCCUGUCAUGUGGGAGCAAAUUAAAAAGAUAGUACCAUAAGAGGAAGAGACGGCUAACUCUGUGCCAGCUGCCGCGGUAAUACAGAGGUCUCAAGCGUUGUUCGGAAUCACUGGGCGUAAAGGGUGCGUAGGCUGUUUCGUAAGUCGUGUGUGAAAGGCGCGGGCUCAACCUGCGGACGGCGCAUGAUACUGGGAGACUAGAGUAAUGGGAGGGGAAGCGGAAUUCGCGGUGUAGCAGUGAAAUGCGUAGAUAUCGAGAGGAACACUCGUGGCGAAGGCGGGUUCCUGGACAUUAACUGACGCUGAGGCACGAAGGCCAGGGGAGCGAAAGGGAUUAGAUACCCGAGUAGUC
rnacentral:rRNA from 1 species